AUUGAACGCUGGCGGCAUGCCUUACACAUGCAAGUCGAACGGCAGCAUAGGAGCUUGCUCCUGAUGGCGAGUGGCGAACGGGUGAGUAAUAUAUCGGAACGUGCCCUAGAGUGGGGGAUAACUAGUCGAAAGACUAGCUAAUACCGCAUACGAUCUACGGAUGAAAGUGGGGGAUCGCAAGACCUCAUGCUCCUGGAGCGGCCGAUAUCUGAUUAGCUAGUUGGCGGGGUAAAAGCCUACCAAGGCAACGAUCAGUAGCUGGUCUGAGAGGACGACCAGCCACACUGGGACUGAGACACGGCCCAGACUCCUACGGGAGGCAGCAGUGGGGAAUUUUGGACAAUGGGGGCAACCCUGAUCCAGCAAUGCCGCGUGAGUGAAGAAGGCCUUCGGGUUGUAAAGCUCUUUUGUCAGGGAAGAAACGGUAGUAGCGAAUAACUAUUACUAAUGACGGUACCUGAAGAAUAAGCACCGGCUAACUACGUGCCAGCCGCCGCAGUAAGAC
rnacentral:rRNA from 1 species